rnacentral:rRNA from 1 species
GACGAACGCUGGCGGCGUGCUUAACACAUGCAAGUCGAACGGAAAGGCCCUGCUUUUGUGGGGUGCUCGAGUGGCGAACGGGUGAGUAACACGUGAGUAACCUGCCCUUGACUUUGGGAUAACUUCAGGAAACUGGGGCUAAUACCGGAUAGGAGCUCCUGCUGCAUGGUGGGGGUUGGAAAGUUUCGGCGGUUGGGGAUGGACUCGCGGCUUAUCAGCUUGUUGGUGGGGUAGUGGCUUACCAAGGCUUUGACGGGUAGCCGGCCUGAGAGGGUGACCGGCCACCUUGGGACUGAGAUACGGCCCAGACUCCUACGGGAGGCAGCAGUGGGGAAUAUUGCACAAUGGGCGGAAGCCUGAUGCAGCAACGCCGCGUGCGGGAUGACGGCCUUCGGGUUGUAAACCGCUUUCGCCUGUGACGAAGCGUGAGUGACGGUAAUGGGUAAAGAAGCACCGGCUAACUACGGG